CGUUCCUCCGCCGCCUGCUGCAUGUGCUUACCCGCCACGGAUAAUGUGAAUGACAAAGACAACAGCUUCAAACAGUGGGAUCCCUGCAAUGAACAUUAGUGUAUCAUUUGAUGGCACAUACGUCAUUCUACGCAUCAGCUGUUCUCUGGAGCUGCAGAAUACAAUUUCCACCAUAAUUAACUACAUAUCCCAAGGGUGUGAAUGCCAUAAUCCUUGGUGUAGCUGUACUUGCCCUUGCUUCUGUACCUGCCUGCCAUUCUGGUUUCAAGUAAACGAGUUUUUUUAAGAUGUCAUUUGUAGUUGUGGAGUUUCUGGAUGAAAAGGCAGUUGAAGUUGUUCCCAAGUCAUGGAUAAUGCAUAAAGAAAAAGGUCUGUUUUGUUACUGGCCUCCAAGGGCAGGUGCUGCAGCCAAGGUGAAAAGGAAGAAAUCCCAGAUAAAGAAAAAUGGAAUUCAUACGAGAUAAGGAUUUU